CCUGAUUGCAAAUGUACAACAUCGCAAAAACAGUCCAGUCCUUAAGGGGUUAAUAGACACGUAGCAAAUGACUGUGUUCUUGGAUCAAACAAUGCAUCGUGUAGCUUACAUCUGUAGAUGAUAGCAGACUUUACAUAAGAAUAAAAUUAAAUCUUUUUUUCACCACUAAUAGGUUUAGUACUAUUUUGUAGUUUGAUUGUAC